CCUCGACUCGAACGCCGUCGUUUUGUUUCCUGCGAAUCAAAAGACAAAAACCCUUGUCAACACAGUGAAAAUCAGUGUCCUCCAACGUUGAAUCACUCCGAACGGUGAAAGACAGCGUGGAAGGUAGCACAAUCCUGAAAACUGAAACUGGGUGAGUAAUAAUCAUCAUCAUCAAUCUGUGAUUCACUACAUUCAUCACAAAUGCACCAUUUUCUGAUUGCUAGAUUAUCUUCCACGAUCCCCCACUUUGGUAUUCCAUGCCACAAUGCAUUUCCACUUUUCUUCACUUCUCGUGCAUUAUCUAUAUCCACCACAAACCGCCGCAAAGGUGGUGGAACCUUUACGGUUUCAAGCCUCAUCAACUCAUCUGGGUUGCCCCCAGAAACAGCCCUCAAACUCUCCAAGAGGCUGCAAGUGAAAUACCCAGAUGGGCCAAAUGCUGUGGUUGAGCUUCUAAAGAAUCAUGGCUUCUCUGAUACCCAGCUUUCUAGCCUUGUCAAGAAGCUCCCAAAAGUGCUUUUAGCUAAACCUGGGAAGACCCUUUUGCCAAAACUCAAUUUCUUCCUUUCCAUUGGGGUUUCAACCACUGACCUCCCCAAGAUUCUCAUUGGGAAUACCUCAUUCUUGACAACUAGCUUGGAGAAGAACACUAUCCCGCGGUAUAAUAUCAUUAGGAGCCUUGUUCGAAGCGAUAAGGAGGCGAUUUCAACUUUGAAGAAUGGGUUGUGGAGCUUCCACAUUGGUAGUGUGAGGAAUGAUGCAGUUCGUAAUAUUGAGGUUUUGAGGCAGCUUGGCCUGCCUCAAGGCUCCAUUUCCCUGCUGGUAACCAAUUUUCCGAGUGUAGCCUUCACGAAGCAUUCAAGAUUUGUUGAGGCUGUUAAGACAGUGAAGGAAAUUGGGUUUGAUCCUCUGAAGACGAAUUUUGUUUUGGCGCUCGAAGUAGUUGCAAAGAUUGAUAAAGCAACAUGGAAGUCGAAAUUAAAGGUUUUUGAGAGCUGGGGCUGGUCCUCAGAUAUCUGUCUAUCGGCUUUCAAAAGGUAUCCUCAGUAUAUGUUGAUGUCAGAAAAGAAGAUUUUGAAGAUAAUGAGCUUCUUGAUGAAGGAAGGUUUUGCCCCAGAAGAUAUUGCUAGAAGCCCUGGAAUUCUGAUCCGCAGCUUGGAGAAGACACUUGCUCCUAGAUGUGCAGUUGUUAAAAUUUUGAAGUCUAGGGGUUUGGUCAAGAGUGAUUUGCGCAUAAGCAGCUAUAUAACUAUUAAUGAGAAAAUGUUUUUGGAGAGAUAUGUGACCCGGUUUAAGAAAGAUGUGCCGCAACUUUUGGAUGCAUUUAAAGGUCAGAAGUCAGGUUGAUCAUCUGGAUAUAGUCUACAUGCUGAAAGUUUUGAUUGGCUGUACUUGAGUGUAGAAGUUGACUAUUCAUUUAUAAUUUUCAUUCUUCGCUUGAUGGUUUGUGUUGCUGAUUUUUAGCUAUACGCAUUUACUAGGAUGUAACUUACACCACUGAUACUCUGAUAGACUAUCUUCAAUUCUACUCUCAUGGUUGUUUUGUUUGAUUUGAUUGGCAGAGCAUAUUCAAUAAACAUUCACUUCAUUUUGUCA